rnacentral:rRNA from 1 species
AUUGAACGCUGGCGGAAUGCUUUACACAUGCAAGUCGAACGGCAGCACGGACUUCGGUCUGGUGGCGAGUGGCGAACGGGUGAGUAAUGUAUCGGAACGUGCCCAGUCGUGGGGGAUAACGUAGUGAAAAUUACGCUAAUACCGCAUACGAGCUAUGGAUGAAAGCGGGGGAUCGCAAGACCUCGCGCGAUUGGAGCGGCGGAUAUCAGAUUAGGUAGUUGGUGGGGUAAAGGCCCACCAAGCCAACGAUCUGUAGCUGGUCUGAGAGGACGACCAGCCACACUGGAACUGAGACACGGUCCAGACUCCUACGGGAGGCAGCAGUGGGGAAUUUUGGACAAUGGGCGAAAGCCUGACCCAGCCAUUCCGCGUGCAGGAUGAAGGCCCUCGGGUUGUAAACUGCUUUUGUACAGAACGAAAAGGUCUCUACUAAUACUAGGAGCUCAUGACGGUACUGUAAGAAUAAGCACCGGCUAACUACGUGCCAGCCGCCGCCGUAA